UUGUUGAGUGAGAACACACAUUAUUUCAAUUUUUCUCAAAGGUUCAUUAAUUUUCCAUUUACUAAUAUUGCACUAUAAAAUAUACUCCUAGUUUUGUUUACUCAUCUAAAAUUCAAAUGGGAGCUAUAAUUCCAAGAUGUUUAAUAGUCAUAACCCUUGUUUUUAUUGGUUUAAUUUUAUCUCCUGGAAUCCAAGAAGGUGUUGCUGCUCGUUCUAAUGUGUAUAGAGAAGUACUUGUGAGGAGAUCAAUAUGUCCUGCUUGUGUGUGUUGUCAACCUUCAACACCAGGAUCUUGUUGCAGCUGUUGUGCUUCUCCUAUCAAUUCACAGUCCAACAACGUUUCGCCUUAAUCGACAUAUGUAAUUCGAAAUUUAAAAUUCGAUUUUUGAGUAAUUGUAAUUUUUUAUUUUUACUUGUCAAAUUUGCAAUGACAUGGUCCUUUCGCAUGCCUUACGAAAAGCAUUUCAAAAGUCGUAUUUGUCUAUUUUGUGUCUUCUUGAUCAUAAUCAAUAAGCUAAAUUGCUUUUAUCAAAUUCCAUGUCAUCUUGGGAAGUAACCUAUCCAUAAAAUAUAUUUGUAUACUAUGUUAUGCUGAAUCAAUAGAAAUAUGAAAUGUGUUUGUAUAUAAA